GACGAACGCUGGCGGCGUGCUUAACACAUGCAAGUCGUACGGUAAGGCCCUUUCGGGGGUACACGAGUGGCGAACGGGUGAGUAACACGUGAGUAACCUGCCCACAACUUUGGGAUAACGCUAGGAAACUGGUGCUAAUACUGGAUAUGUGCUCCUGCUGCAUGGUGGGGGUUGGAAAGCUCCGGCGGUUGUGGAUGGACUCGCGGCCUAUCAGCUUGUUGGUGGGGUAGUGGCCUACCAAGGCGGCGACGGGUAGCCGGCCUGAGAGGGUGACCGGCCACAUUUGGACUGAGAUACGGCCCAGACUCCUACGGGGGGCAGCAGGUGGGAAUAUUGCACAAAGGGCGGGAGCCUGAUGCAGCAACGCCGCGGGCGGGAUGACGGCCUUCGGGUUGGAAACCGCUUUCAGCAGGGACGAAGCUUUUUGUGACGGUACCUGCAGAAGAAGCACCGGCUAACUACGUG
rnacentral:rRNA from 1 species